rnacentral:rRNA from 1 species
UACCAGCACCCCGAGUGGUCGGGACGAUUAUUGGGCCUAAAGCAUCCGUAGCCGGUUCUACAAGUCUUCCGUUAAAUCCACCUGCUCAACAGUUGGGCUGCGGAGGAUACUAUAGAGCUAGGAGGCGGGAGAGGCAAGCGGUACUUAGUGGGUAGGGGUAAAAUCCGUUGAUCCAUUGAAGACCACCAGUGGCGAAGGCGGCUUCCUGGCCUGUUCUUGACGCUGAGGCGCGAAAGCUAGGGGAGCAAACGGG